UGCAAGUCGAGCGGAACGAGUUAUCUGAACCUUCGGGGAACGAUAACGGCGUCGAGCGGCGGACGGGUGAGUAAUGCCUAGGAAAUUGCCUUGAUGUGGGGGAUAACCAUUGGAAACGAUGGCUAAUACCGCAUAAUGCCUACGGGCCAAAGAGGGGGACCUUCGGGCCUCUCGCGUCAAGAUAUGCCUAGGUGGGAUUAGCUAGUUGGUGAGGUAAUGGCUCACCAAGGCGACGAUCCCUAGCUGGUCUGAGAGGAUGAUCAGCCACACUGGAACUGAGACACGGUCCAGACUCCUACGGGAGGCAGCAGUGGGGAAUAUUGCACAAUGGGCGCAAGCCUGAUGCAGCCAUGCCGCGUGUAUGAAGAAGGCCUUCGGGUUGUAAAGUACUUUCAGCAGUGAGGAAGGGGGUGUCGUUAAUAGCGGCAUCUCUUGACGUUAGCUGCAGAAGAAGCACCGGCUAACUCCGUGCCAGCAGCCGCGGUAAUACGGAGGGUGCGAGCGUUAAUCGGAAUUACUGGGCGUAAAGCGCAUGCAGGUGGUUUGUUAAGUCAGAUGUGAAAGCCCGGGGCUCAACCUCGGAACUGCAUUUGAAACUGGCRAACUAGAGUACUGUAGAGGGGGGUAGAAUUUCAGGUGUAGCGGUGAAAUGCGUAGAGAUCUGAAGGAAUACCAGUGGCGAAGGCGGCCCCCUGGACAGAUACUGACACUCAGAUGCGAAAGCGUGGGGAG
rnacentral:rRNA from 1 species